AACGAACGCUGGCGGCGCGUCUUAAACAUGCAAGUCGAACGGCAGGAAGGGGCUUGCCCCUUCUGAGAGUGGCGGACUGGUGAGUAACACGUGGGUGACAUACCUUUUAGUUGGGGAUAGCUAUUAGAAAUAGUAGGUAAUACCGAAUGUGGCCGUACCUGUUAGAGGGGUACGAGGAAAGGAGCUAAGGCUUCGCUAAAAGAAUGGCUCGCGGCCCAUUAUGCUCGUUGGUGAGGUAACGGCCCACCAAGGCGAUGAUGGGUAUCCGGCCUGAGAGGGUGAACGGACACAUUGGGACUGAGAUACGGCCCAGACUUCUACGGGAGGCAGCAGUUAAGAAUAUUCCGCAAUGGACGAAAGUCUGACGGAGCGACGCCGCGUGGAUGAAGAAUGCCGAAAGGUUGUAAAAUCCUUUUAAGCCUGAUGAAUAAGCACAGUAGGGAAUGAUUGUGCGGUGACCGUAGGGCUUGAAUAAGCACCGGCUAAUUACGUG
rnacentral:rRNA from 1 species